GACGAACGCUGGCGGCGUGCCUAAUACAUGCAAGUCGAACGAGAGCGACCGGUGCUUGCACUGGUCAAUCUAGUGGCGAACGGGUGAGUAACACGUGGGUAACCUGCCCAUCAGAGGGGGAUAACAUUCGGAAACGGAUGCUAAAACCGCAUAGGUCUUCGAACCGCAUGGUUUGUAGAGGAAAAGAGGCGCAAGCUUCUGCUGAUGGAUGGACCCGCGGUGCAUUAGCUAGUUGGUGAGGUAACGGCUCACCAAGGCCGUGAUGCAUAGCCGACCUGAGAGGGUGAUCAGCCACAUUGGAACUGAGACACGGCCCAAACUCCUACGGGAGGCAGCAGUAGGGAAUAUUCCGCAAUGGACGCAAGUCUGACGCAGCAACGCCGCGUGAGUGAAGAAGGUUUUCGGAUCGUAAAACUCUGUUGUUAGAGAAGAACAAGUGCUAGAGUAACUGUUAGCGCCUUGACGGUAUCUAACCAGAAAGCCACGGCUAACUACGUG
rnacentral:rRNA from 1 species